UACGGAGGGUGCAAGCGUUAUCCGGAUUCACUGGGUUUAAAGGGUGCGUAGGUGGGCAGGUAAGUCAGUGGUGAAAUCUCCGGGCUUAACUCGGAAACUGCCAUUGAUACUAUCUGUCUUGAAUACCGUGGAGGUUAGCGGAAUAUGUCAUGUAGCGGUGAAAUGCUUAGAUAUGACAUAGAACACCAAUUGCGAAGGCAGCUGGC
rnacentral:rRNA from 1 species